rnacentral:rRNA from 1 species
UACGGAGGGUGCAAGCGUUAGUCGGAAUUACUGGGCGUAAAGGGUGCGUAGGCGGGGAUGUAAGUCAGAUGUGAAAUACCGAAGCUCAACUUCGGCUGUGCAUCUGAAACUGCGUUUCUAGAGGAAGAGCGGAGAAAACGGAAUUCCACGUGUAGCGGUGAAAUGCGUAGAUAUGUGGAAGAACACCUGUGGCGAAAGCGGUUUUCUAGCUUAUUCCUGACGCUGAGGCACGAAAGCAAGGGGAUCAAACAGG